rnacentral:misc_RNA from 1 species
GAUGAAGAACGCAGUGAAAUGCGAUAAGUAAUGUGAAUUGCAGAAUUCAGUGAAUCAUCGAAUCUUUGAACGCACAUUGCGCCCCUUGGUAUUCCGGGGGGCAUGCCUGUUCGAGCGUCAUUACAACCCUCAAGCUCUGCUUGGUCUUGGGCGUCACCGGUCCCCGGUGUGCCUUAAAAUCAGUGGCGGCGCCAUCUGGCUCUAAGCGUAGUACAUACUCUCGCUACAGACGUCCGGUGGAUGCUGGCCAGCAACCCCCAAUUUAUCAAGGUUGACCUCGGAUCAGGUAGGGAUACCCGCUGAACUUAAGCAUAUCAAUAAGCGGAGGA